AUUGAACGCUAGCGGGAUGCUUUACACAUGCAAGUCGAACGAGUGGCGGACGGGUGAGUAAUAUAUCGGAACGUGCCCAGUAGCGGGGGAUAACUACUCGAAAGAGUGGCUAAUACCGCCUACUAUUGGAGCGGCCGGUAUCGGAUUAGCUAGUUGGUGGGGUAAAGGCUCACCAAGGCAACGAUCCGUAGCUGGUUUGAGAGGACGACCAUCCUCCCGGUGACGGAGACCCGGCCCAGACUACACCCAUAUUCAUCAUUUCUAAAUUUUAUACAAUGAAGGAAACCCUGAUCCAGCCAUCCCGCGUGUAUGAGAACUCCUUCGGGUUUUAACGUACUUUUGGCAGAGAAGCGGUAUCUGCAGAAUAAGCACCGGCUAACUACGUGCCAGCAGCCGCGGUAAUUC
rnacentral:rRNA from 1 species